rnacentral:sRNA from 1 species
GGAAGCCCUAGGUCCAGCGAUGCAAAUGACGAAUACCUGGAAAAAGAAAACACCCAGACGGAACCUUUAUACGAGACGGUUGCUGCACAAGUUCGCAAGGUGCUUUGGGCCCCACCC